UGAUGUGAAUUGACAUCA
rnacentral:snRNA from 1 species